AUUGAACGCUGGCGGCAUGCUUUACACAUGCAAGUCGAGCGGCAGCGCGGGGGCAACCCUGGCGGCGGGCGGCGAACGGGUGAGUAAUGCAUCGGAACGUAUCCUCGAGUGGGGGAUAACCCAGCGAAAGUUGGGCUAAUACCGCAUGAGCUCUGAGGAGGAAAGCGGGGGACCUGCGAGGGCCUCGCGCUGGAGGAGCGGCCGAUGUCCGAUUAGCUAGUUGGUGGGGUAAAGGCUUACCAAGGCGACGAUCGGUAGCUGGUCUGAGAGGAUGAUCAGCCACACUGGGACUGAGACACGGCCCAGACUCCUACGGGAGGCAGCAGUGGGGAAUUUUGGACAAUGGGGGCAACCCUGAUCCAGCCAUGCCGCGUGAGUGAAGAAGGCCUUCGGGUUGUAAAGCUCUUUCGGACGGAACGAAAUGGGCGGGACUAAUACUCCUGUCUGAUGACGGUACCGUAAGAAGAAGCACCGGCUAACUACGUG
rnacentral:rRNA from 1 species